ACAACGGAUUGGAUGGAUGGGUCAACAAAACAAAAAAUAUAUUUUUUGUUAUUUUCGCAUUAUCAGUCAGUCAUUAAGACACUUCUUCCAUGUUCGUAACGUAACGGAGACUUAUUACAAAAAAUAUUAUUUGUCGUUUUCGUUAAAACUGGUGAAUAAAAUAAACAAAUAAAAAAAAUUAUAAAAAAAUACAAACAUCAUUAAAAUAUACCUAUUUAAGCAAAAAAAUAAAUUUUUAUUACAAAUAUUGUUUCAGAUGACUAUAAUUUUUUUGUGUAAAAUUUGUAAUCUAACAUUACAUACAAAUUCUAGUGCCUAAUUAUACUUACUGUUUGUUUUUGGGAAAUUUCUAAAACGUCAGUAUAAACGUCAAAAUGAAAAGCGGGUUUUUUUGUGUUAUAUGUUAGAAAAAGUAGAUAAAUAUAUUUAAACAAAAAAAUUAACAGCUGCUUUAGCAACAAAAGAAGUUAUUGUGCCUUUUAAAAGUUAUCCACAAAAAAAAUUCCAAUAUAUUUUAAUAAUUUAACACACAAACAGACAAACAAAUAACACACUACAAUAACAAAUAUAAAUAAAUUGUAUAAUUAAUAGAAAUUAUUGCAAUUAAUUUGCAAACAAAAACCACAAAAAAAUAAUAAAAACAUCAACGACCAGUCUUCGUUUAAAUGGCUGCUAGUUAGUUGACUGCGAUUAGCAAAUCGUUUAACACCACACACACGCUUCUCUAUAUACAAAACAAAAAAAAAAUAUUAUAAAAUUCCAUUAAACCAGAAACCAAAAACAGACAAGACACCUCUGCCAAAAAUCGGCCAGAGUUAGUAUAACCAAAAAAAGUAAAACAAUUGCUUUGAUUAUUGCCAAAAAAAGACUAACUAACAACAUCAUCUCUCUAUAUAUCAUCAACAUCAGUAAAUAGCAGCAACACCAGUGUGUGUGUGUGUUUGUUUGUCUUUAUUCUCCCCUCCUCUGUUGUCAACAACAAAACCCACAUUCAAGAGACAUGGCGCAAUUUUUAACACUUUUGCCAGUUCUUCUACUUAUUGGUGUCUUCAAUCCGAUAGUCUGUCCCAGUAGUCAAUUUAUAAUGAAAGACGUGAUCGUGCUCCCUAUAUAGAGUCUAGUGAACAUAAUCCACAAUAUCUGGGUGAUGCAGUUGGGCCGUUAGGGAGUCGAUUUAGAAAACCGCCCCUCCAUAAAGAUAAUCAUGCCAGCUAUCGGAGUCAUGAACAAUUUGCCGCCUCACCGCCAGCUGGACACCCGCAUGGCUACAACCCCCCACAUAACAAUGAACAGUCCAGCACAGAUUCUAUAGUGGAUAAAAAUAUACGUAGUGUAUUUUCUACGAAUUUUGGACCUGGUUUAUAUUUGUUUAAAGAUAAAAUUGAAACCUCGCCAUCGUCUGUGGAUUAUACUCGAAGUCAAGAUAGAAUAGUUCAUUUUCCCACCGAAGAACCCGAACCUGAACCCGAAAAAAACCGUUGUGAAAAGAAAAGAAGUAGUCGAUACCAAUGACUGUUUGGAAAAGGAUGCCAUCAAUGGCAACCAUUUUGUACUCAGCUGCGUAAUUAUCCCGAGAAGUCACAUUUGGAACAGAUUAUUAAGCAGAGAUUCUCGAAUUUAGAAUCAUUCUUUGGUGAAGAUUUGGUUCUACCACAAAACAUUAGUCAACGCAUGAAUAACGAACCAAAUGAAGAGUUUCUAUGUAAGAGCCGUGUUCGAGUUAUUUAUCCUCAAGCGGGUGUUGAUAGGGAAUAUAAUUGGUUGGUUAUAGUAAAUAUUCCUAAAUAUAAACAGGGUAUACGUAUAGAGGAAUGUGUUAACGAGGGCUCUACCUGUGGUGAAAAUACUGGUCUAAGUUUACCCAAUCGCUAUACCGCUACAUGUAAACAAAGUUACAUUUAUCGCUCUUUAGUUGCCUAUACAAGUGAUGAUACCGUUAUAAAAGAACAAUUUAAAAUGCCUUCCUGUUGUAAAUGCGUUCUGAGAACUGAGGUCUGACGGAGGUCUUCAUAACAGGUAAAGAUAACUCAGUAGUAAAGAAAACUGUUGCCGUUUUUUUUUUAAAUUCGAACUCAAAAUGUGAUUUAAGAAACCCAAACACUCACAGGAUGGAUGGCAGGCCAAACUGUCCAUUACUUUAGAUUUUAAAAUAAAAUUUAGUUUAAUAUAAUUUUUUUUGUAGUGAUUCUUAAAUGAGUCUUUUAAAUUGUUAAAAAAUAAAUUUGUAUAAAUAUUGACAAAAUGCUUAGUUGGUAUAACUAAUAUAUUUGUAAAAAAAGAAUAGAUCUAAUUAUAUAUAUACAACAAUAUUUGUUAAUAAUAAAUUCUAAGUAAAAAUCUGUAUUGUUUCCAAUUGUAUUUUAUAAAUUUUAAUUUAAUCAUCACAUGUAUAGAAAUAUGAUUGGUAUGUCUAUUAAACAAUUAAAAAAGGAUUCUAAUUAAAAAAAAAAUCAAUCAAAAAGGAUUCUUCCAAUAUUCGUUGAAAAUACGAAAAAAAAAUCUGUUUCGAAUGGACCUUUUAAGAAAAAUUGAAUUAGCUUAUAAAUAAGAAUUUUAUAAAAUUUGUUAAAAAAAAUAUUUUAGAUACAAUUGGAAUGUUGUACAAAAUAAUAUACAGUUAAAAUGCUAAAGCUAUGAAAUUGUUAUAUCAGUAAAAAUUUAUUUUGAAGACCCCAUUAGACAUUCAAAAGUCUGAUAAACUCAAUUUGUUGCAGAUCAAGUAUCACCACUUGCCAUAUUGCGAUUUUUCCUUUAAAUUUAAUAAAUAAUUUUCCAAAUUUUUAUUCUGAAUUGUGUUUAUUAAAAGUAUUGACGAUUUUCUAAAAAUUCGUAGUUCGCUCGCUAAGUAUAAGGUACAGUUCUAUAACUUAACCUUGGGCUGUAUAAUAGACAAGUUGUAUAAUAGAUAAGUCAAACAAUAGUUUGAUUGUCAUAUUAAUAUAUUUCGGUUUUGUUGCUCCCAUCAAUUCUCCCAAACUUAAACAAAUCCCCCUAAAAUUAUUCACAAAAUGGAUUAAAAAUGGCUUGCCGGAACAGGUUCCUUGGCAGGUUCUUUGGAGUAACAAAUGGUCAUUGUUUAGUAGUUUAUGUCUGUCCUAUUCUAUGCUACAUCUUACAACUAACCUAAAUAAAUCCGUUCUACCUAAGUUACGUUUAUACCACACUUAUCAAAUAUUUGACGAAAAAGACGUAACCACAUUUUUUUUAGAUGUUUUAUUGAUCUUACGUGAUUCUUGAUAAUUGCAAAUAAUGUCGGAACUACUAAUAAUGAAAUUCAAAGUUAUAACUGCAUAAGCAGUCUAAUAAGGUCUUUCUAAUAAUGUGUUAUAUAAAUACUCUCUCAUUCAUUAGUCUUCUUGCCUGUGAAGCUAUAGAAGCUGUAUAUGUGUAAUCAUGUGAUUUGCAAUGGCUACUUCUUCAAAUUAUUUGUAAGCGUUUGUGGUUCAUGCCUCCAAUAACUACUUCUUCAAAUUACUUGUAAGCGUUUGAGGUUCUGGCCUCCAAUGAUAUCACCGUGUUUAAAAAAAAAUUACUUAAAAUGCGAUUGUGAAAGUAAAUUGUUAUUGAAAGUUAAUGAAAGUUUUUGCUGGGUAUAUUUUAGUAAAUAAGUUAUGAUUUAAAGAAAUUAAAAUUUUGACUUAUUAGGGGUCACGUUUUUUCGUCAAAUAUGUAUUUGAUUAGUGUGAACGAAUCUUUAUUGAAAUUAUUAUUAUGGUUAUAAUGUAGUAUCAAAUAUGUAACGCGAUUAUUAGGCAACUUCCCUUUGAUAUAAUUGACUAUUUAAAUUGUAUCUUAGAAAUUUAACAAAAUUCUACUUUAACAUUAUAUUUAUAUUUAAGUAUUAAACUUUAUAACAAAAAUUUAAGAAAUAUAAAAAAAAUCAAUUAAAAAUACAAUAAUGCAACGAUACGAACGAUCUACUACUAAUGUAAAAAAUAACUCACAUAUUGUAUAUUUACAUUUGAUUAGAAUUGUUUUUUUUUUAUACUAAUAAAUUUAUUAAUAAUAUGUUGUUUAAUGUUUUUUUUUAAAUUAUAAUAAAUAAAGAAAAAAUAAAUUU